rnacentral:misc_RNA from 1 species
GAUGAAGAACGUAGCGAAAUGCGAUAAGUAAUGUGAAUUGCAGAAUUCAGUGAAUCAUCGAAUCUUUGAACGCACCUUGCACCCUUUGGCAUUCCGAAGGGUAUGCUCGUUUGAGUGUCAUUGUACUCUCACACUUCCAAUUCUUUGGAUUGGGAGCGGUGGACUUGGGCGCUGCUGCUUUACUGUGGCUCACCUCAAAUGCAUUAGUGCAACCCUUGGUUAGACAUAGUACGGCGUGAUAAGUGUCUUCGCUGGUGCCUCACAUUUAGAGGGUGGCUGAUCAGGGGCUCUGUGCUUCAAACCGUCUUUGGACAAUGGCUGACAACUUGACCUCAAAUCGAGUAGGACUACCCGCUGAACUUAAGCAUAUCAAUAAGCGGAGGA